GGGGGGGGGGGGGGGGGGGGGGGGGGGGGGGGGGGCGGACGGGGGGGCGGGGGUGGGGGGGGGUGCUCGGGGGGCGGGCGGGGGAGGAACAGGGGGGGAACCUGCCCUUGACGUGGGGAGAACUUCAGGAAACGGGGGCUCAUCCCGGGUAGGAGCCCCUGCUGCAUGGGGGGGGGUGGCAAGGUUAGGCGGUUGGGGAUGGACUCGCCGCUGAUCAGCUUGGUGGUGGGGUAGUGGCUUACCAAGGCUUUGACGGGUAGCCGGCCUGAGAGGGUGACCGGCCACAUUGGGACUGAGAUACGGCCCAGCCUCCUACGGGAGGCAGCAGUGGGGAAUAUUGCCCAAUGGGCGGAAGCCUGAUGCAGCAACGCCGCGUGCGGGAUGACGGCCUUCGGGUUGUAAACCGCUUUCGCCUGUGACGAAGCGUGAGUGACGGUAAUGGGUAAAGAAGCACCGGCUAACUACGUG
rnacentral:rRNA from 1 species